rnacentral:lncRNA from 1 species
UUGAAAUUAUUGAGUACCUUGACAGCAACUAAAACAUCACUGGAAAGCCUGCCUUUGAAGACAGUUCCAUAGCCUCCUUGUCCCAGUUUGUCCUUGAAAUGAUUAGUUAUCCUUUUAAUAUCAGCAUAGGAGUAUCUUGAGGGUUUAAGCUCUUUAUAAUCUUCCAAAAACUUUUCAAUCUUGACUUGACUUUCUUUCUCCUUUUUGUCUAACCGAUAUCUCCACCCAACUGCAAUGGCAAUGGUUGCAGCAAUUGAAGAACCCAACACAAUACCUGCAAAUCAGCAUACAUCCCUGUGUUAUAUCCUGUCUAAAAUUAUUGAAGCUAAAAGGGAAAUUCCAUUUACCUGCAACCAUUAGCCUUUCUCCCAAACCUGCCAAACAUUUAAAAUUAUUCAGCUUUGAUACAUGGGAAAUCUAAGAAAAGGGCUCACUGUAAGUUUACAACAUUAAGCUUCACUUUGAUGCAGGCUAAUGAUUUUUUUUUAUAGUUAUAAUAGUUAAAACAUACCUAUAUGGUGUUUGGGGAUAUCAAAACACUCGGUUUGUUCCUUGGUGCUAUUAUUGUUGUUCAAUCUACAUCCCCUUCCUUGAGCUUCGCAAUCACCACAGUCUGGUUUAUACCAACGUAAUUGAAAACGGUUACCAUAAGGAGAAAUGGGCGUUGAGAAGUUGCGAAAGUAGCUGCAAUUCAACAGGUUCUCUGGAUAAAUAGGGUCAUAAGAAGCAAAAGCUAUAAUUUGGGAGCCAGGGGUGCUUAAGCAAUCGACUCUGUUUCCUUCAUACAAAGCCUUAUCUUGGCUUGAACAUUCAAACAAGGCAUAGUUGGAUUCAGUUGGCUGGGAUAUAUAAACUUUUAGGCGGCUGAAACCUUGUUGUUCCACCGCGAAUGGAAAGGCAGAAAAAUUGAGAUCUAAAAGCUGCCGCCAGAGGCAACCGCCGGGAAAGUCCAAGUUAAUCCGCUGAGCUUCAUAAUCUAUGUGCUUCACCAACAGCUCCAGCGAACGUGGUAUCUUCAGCAGGGUCUGUUUGUUUUCUGAGCAGGAAAGCUGAAACCCAGGAUGAGGAUAGCCGCAGUGGGGUGACUGCUGGCCUUCUAAACGGAAGGGGAAAUGGACAGGUGGAUCCUGGUGGUUGCACCGCCGCGCCUUGCAGUCGUCUUGGAUUGGCACUGCUUCUGCAACAUCCACAGCUAAGAUAAAGCAGAAUAACGAGUAAAUUAACAUUGUUCUUACUAACUUGUGAGCCCCUGAAGUGAAACGGGCUUUAAAUAAUUUCAUUGACAUAGGUGGUUCAGCCCUUGAGAGUUCCAAUUAUGCACGCAACGCAGCUGCUGCUUUACCAUAUAGCUUUGUCUCGUUUAACAGGGUCUUCAACUCUCCGUCCUCUCUUUGUUCUCUUUUCUGAGUAAAUGUUAGACAUGUUUGAUUGUUAGCAACCCUUUCUAACUUUGUUACUAAUUUUCUUUUAUUCCCGUUAGUUGUAGUAAAAUUUGAGGGAAAAACACUGAACAUGAGAAUGAAUACCGAUUUGCUGUUGUGAUCAUAGUGGGGUCAGCUUGACUGACUCUUGUUUUUCCACCUUCGUUGAAGUUUCCUCUUCCCUUUAUAGUUUUUACUACAUUUUGUUUGGUAUGACUAAGUAGUUGACUGACUUUUAUGGGUUCUUUUUAAUGUCUAUCGUUUUUUUUCUAAUGUAGGUGAUUUUUUUCUCACUUUUUUUUUCUAAUUUAUCUUUUAUUUUUGGAUUUUAAUUCGAAAUCGCAAAACUUGAACCAUCAUAUGUUUUUAAAUUUUAAAUCACUUAUUUUAGAUAGAACAAAUUUUUUAAAAGUGGAUACAAGACAAAAUGACAUAAUUUUUUUAAUAUGAGUAUGGAACAAUUAUAGUCAUUGCUUGUUCUACUCGUCCUAUCUCGAAAUAAUCUUUUACCUUUUUUGUAUAUAAUUAUUAAAAUGAUAAAAAUGUAAUAAUAUAUUAUAGGAAAAAAAUCAUAUGUUUUAUAUUUAUAUUUUUAAAAAAUUAUGUUUAAAUACUUACUCGUCCUAUCUCGAAAUUUCUUGUAGUUAUACUGUCUUUGAGAUGUUUUUAUUCGCGAUUUUGAACUAAUUUUCUAAAUACCUAGGGGAGAUGAACCUUAUGAUGAAUUUUGUCUUUUGAUUUCUGUUUUAUGCAAUGAAUAAUUGAAUCUUAUUCUCAAUUAUGUGUGCUUAAUCCUUGAUUUAAGAUUUUCGAAUUAUUAAUUCAUGUUUGAUGUGCUUAAUUAAGAGUAGAUCUAGCAUAAUUGAGUGGAGUUGCAUGUAAUCCUAGAAAUAGGACGACAUAAAUCUAACGAAUUAGGUAUUCAUAAACGAGAACUCAAUCAUAUCCAUCAGCACAAAACCCAACCAGGCGAGUCACAUUCACAUGGUGGAUUCUACCUAUCGAACCCACCUCAUUGAUGAACUCUUAAUAUUUAACUAAAGUUUGCUUUCUACUUUUUUUUUAUUUCCAUUUUUAAGAAAAUGUUAUUUUAUUAAUUCAAUUAUCUAAAUUAAUAUUAUUUUAUUUAAAUUAUAUUAAUCCUCAUUUAAUUAUUACAAGUAUAUUAUUUUAAAAUUAUAAAAAAUAUUAUUUAAUAAAUUAAACAAAUAAACAUUUAAAAUCACAUACAUUACAUUAAAAACUAAUAUAUCUAAAUAUAUAUUUUACCACUUAUUUUAAUCUUGUUAUUUUUAAUUUCAUCAAAAUUAUAUAUCACUCGAGCCACUGCGACUGCUGACUGGUGAUUAUUGAAAGGUUCUGAAUUAAUACAUCCAAGACUUUUAUGAGCAUCGCCAUUGACUGACCGACGACUUGAAUUAAAGAAUUUUCCACAUUAGCUUUGUUAGUGGACUGAUUUUUCAAAGAAGGACUUGCUCUCAAUUGCAGCCAUAAAAUAAAUGAAUGAUUGGCAUUUUACAUUAAAGAACAUCCCAUUGUUUAUUUCUUCAUCGGAGCUCCACCGGAACUUGAUGAUGUUAAGACCCAGACUUGUCUUGUUUAGCAUCUUUGCCCUUACUUUAUCCCCAGAUGUUUCCGAUGGUAGAGCAGGCAAAAGCAACCACUGCGGCCCAUCUUUGUGUGGACACGUUAAUAUCAGUCACCCUUUCCGACUAAAAGGUCAGCCUCGUCGAUGUGGUGACCGUAGGUUUGAAUUAGAGUGCAAGAGAAACCGCACCAGUUUUCCCAUGAAAUACGGAAACUUUUAUGUCCUAAACAUCUCUUAUGUUGACCGAACGCUUCGACUUGUGGAUGUGAGUCUGGUCGAUGAAAACUGCUCAAUUCCUCGCAGUUCCAUUGUCGAUUCUUCAGACAGCUAUCUAGAACACAUAAUAGCGAAUGGAGCAGACACCAUGUAUCUGGUAAAUUGCACGACAAGUAUGAAGUCUUCUUCAGUUUAUGUCGAUGCUUCUCGUUGCCCAACCAAUAGCUCUUCUUCUCCUUGGACCUACUUCUACUUUCCGGUCUCGUUUUCAAAUAUAUCCGAUUUCGAUCAUUCGUGCAGAUUUAUAGCCCAGUUUCCUGUCAUGCUUUCCAAUAUUAGUGGCUUAUCCCCUUCUUACAUUUACAAAAACCUGUUGGAAGGCGUCGAGGUGUCCUGGUAUCGUUUUUGGCCUUCAAACCCGAUUCUCAAAGUGUAAGAGACUUCGAUCUUUAGAUUCUUUCAAUCUAUAACUUUUCAAGGCCUUAUUUAUUGAUUGGUUGCUUUUUUUUUUCCUGGGGGGGGGGGUAUUCUAGCUUGCUACAGUUGCUACUUCCAAUUGCAGCAUACAUAGUAACCAUUGCGAACUUUCUUCAGCAGGGAAGCAUCAACUAUUAUACUCCUUAUCAUAAAGGUUAAUGUUUCAGAUUUCAUAAGUAUCUGUAUUUAUUGGAUUUGCCCUUGAAUUGCAUUCAAGUUAGUAAUACUAUUGUUGAAUUGGUGUUUUAAACAGCAUCCUUCUUAGUUUGUCUUGCAGUAUCAGGUAAAUCUCUUUCCCCGCCCCACUUUUUUAUGUUAUCUUUAUAAAAUAAUCAUGAAUGCUGAUUUAUCCUUGUGUAUGCCCCUUGAUGGGCAAGCAGCUGGCAUAUUGUUAGCGAGAACUUUGUUGGGGAUAUUCUGCCUCAUUACACUUGUUAUACACAAACUAAGGAGGAGGCAUUUAUCGAUGGAUGAUAAUAUUGAGAACUUUCUUAAAAGUCAAAAUAAUUUAAUACCAAUUCGAUAUUCGUAUUCUGAAAUAAAAAGAAUUACGGAAGGUUUUAAAGUUAAAUUAGGUCAAGGAGGUUAUGGUUCUGUGUUUAAAGGAAAGCUUCGCAGUGGUCGGCUAGUGGCAAUAAAAAUGUUGGAUAAAUUCAAAGCAAAUGGAGAAGAUUUCAUCAAUGAAGUUGCUACUAUUGGAAGGAUUCAUCAUAUUAAUGUAGUGCAACUUAUUGGAUUUUGUGUAGAGAGAUCAAAACAAGCUCUUGUAUAUGAUUUUAUGGUGAAUGGGUCUUUGGAUAAAAUUAUAUUUUCAAAGGAGAAUUGCACUUUAAGUUGGCAAAAAUUAUUUGAGGUUGCACUAGGUGUGGCUCGAGGGAUUGAAUACUUGCACAGGGGUUGUCAAAUGCAAAUUUUGCAUUUUGAUAUCAAGCCGCACAACAUUCUUUUGGACGAAAACUUUAUCCCUAAAGUUUCUGAUUUUGGUCUUGCAAAAUUAUAUUCAGUGGAUGAUAGUAUUAUUUCUCUCACAGCGGCUCGUGGUACAUUAGGAUACAUUGCUCCUGAAUUAUUUUACAGAAAUAUUGGAGGCAUCUCAUAUAAAGCCGAUAUUUAUAGUUUUGGAAUGUUAUUAAUGGAAAUGGUGGGAAGAAGAAAGAAUUUGAAUGCAUUUGAUGAUCAUUCUAGUCAAAUUUAUUUUCCGUCAUGGAUUUAUGAUCGAUUUGAACAAAGAGAGAACAUAGAAUUAGGGGAUGAAACAGAAGUUGAUGACAAAAUAGCAAGGAAGAUGAUAAUGGUUGCAUUUUGGUGCAUACAAAUGAAUCCCACUAAUCGUCCUUCAAUGAGCAAAGUUUUGGAAAUGCUCGAAAAUGAACUUGAUCACCUUGAAUUACCGUCCAGACCUUCACUAUUUUCUCUCGAAAAGUCAAUUGAAGAUCAUGUUAGUAAGAAUGUAUCGGAGGAACCAUCAACGUCAAAAAGUUGUGUGGACCUCUAAGUAUAAUGUUUGAUUUUAUUCGGGCCUUUUAUACAUAUAGUUCUGCAACUGUAAGCUUUUAAUUUGUAGCAUUUCAUGUUCAGUUGUAUAAUAUCCAGCAUCAUGUAAUACAACUAUUAAUGGAUGUGUGUUUUAGACUUUAGCUCCUUAGCUUCAUGUUUCAAUUAUUAAAAAUGUCUCCCAGUCACCAUAUAAUGAGUUAAUAUCAAAUUCGUUUACAAUUAUUUAGUAUAUAAGUGACUCUUAACAUUGGGUGAUCUCAUGAGAAAGUUUUUACUGAUCUCUUAUUGUAAUAUGUAAUCAUGAUAAUUAUGAGUGUGGUGUGGCGGUUGCUCACUUCAUUUUUAAAUCAUUUAGUCAAGAAUUUGAGUUCCGCUCAAAGAAAUGGAACACUUACCAACUAUGAAUACCUUAAUUUUGACAAUUAAACAACAUUUAAGAUAGAAUCUUAUCAUUUAUUAGUAGAAUUUAUAUACCAACAGCCAUGCAGCAUUUCAUUUAUGAGUUCAUAUAAAAUCUUAGCAUUGGUGUAAUAUGAGUGUGCUAAUAGACGAUUUCAAGUUUCAACUGAUUCUAGUACUACUAAUAAUGAGGCUCGAGCUUGUUCUUAUUCCAUUUCUGAAAUAGUGGCUAGAUCUCUGUUAACCGGCUUCCUAGGUAUGGUGGCACCCAUCGUCUUCGUUGGAUCCGUCGACGCAAAAGGAUUUGGUGGCAUUGUAAGAACGUCAAGCUCUCCCUCUAACAUCUGAACCACCACUUUCAUCGAAGGACGAUCAACGGGAUACCACUGAAUGCACCAAAGUCCAACAAUCAUGAGUUUCUUUGCUAUCCCUGUUUGUGCAUCAUCUUCAAUUCGAAUCCCGAACUCCCCUCCUUUAUCCAAACGAUCAUAUGCCCAUUCUGGGAAAUACACUUGGCUUGUGUUCUCGACCGUAACAUCUAUGUUCUUUCUCCCCCCAACCAUUUCAAGCAACAGCAUUCCAAAACUAUAAACAUCAGAUUUAUAUGACACAUUUCCAAAGUUGCGAGACAGUACCUCUGGUGCAAUAUAGCCCAUGGUACCUCUAGCUGUUGUCAUUGAAAUAGCACUUUGUUCCUUGGAACACAAUUUAGCAAGGCCGAAAUCAGAGAUCUUAGGAUUGAAGUUGUGAUCAAGCAAAAUAUUGUGAGGUUUGAUGUCAAAAUGGAGGAUACGUUGCUCGCAACCUUGAUGCAGGUACUCAAUGCCUUUGGCUACACCGACAGCAAUAUCCUGAAGUUUUUCCCAACUCAGGGAUCGAUCCUUGCCCUUGGCUGAAAAUAUGAACUUCUCUAAUGACUCGUUUGGUAGGUAUUCAUAAACGAGAGCUCUGUCAUAUCCAUCGGCACAAAACCCAACCAGGCGAGUCACAUUCACAUGGUGGAUUCUGCCCAUCGAACCCACCUCGUUGAUGAACUCUUCACCAUUUCCCUUGAAAUUAUUGAGCACCUUGACAGCAACUAAAACAUCACUGGAAAGUCUGCCUUUGAAGACAGUUCCAUAGCCUCCUUGUCCCAGUUUGUCCUUGAAAUGAUUAGUUAUCCUUUUAAUAUCAGCAUAGGAGUAUCUUGAGGGUUUAAGCUCUUUAUAAUCUUCCAAAAACUUUUCAAUCUUGACUUGGCUUUCUUUCUCCUUUUUGUCUAACCGAUAUCUCCACCCAACUGCAAUGGCA